UCCCUGGUGGCUCAGAGGGUAAAGCAUCUGCCUGCAAUGCAGGAGACCCAGGUUCGAUCCCUGGGUGGGGAA
rnacentral:tRNA from 1 species